UGUUUGGAGAGCGGAAGGAGAAAACUAGGGGUGUUAAAGUUGUUUACGGACUAGAUUUGUAAAAGACGUCACUAGAUUGUUCGAGAGAACGGAAAGAUUGCUCGUAGAUCAUCGUAAGAGUUAGAGGAGACACUAUUUCUUUUUGAGCUGAUCGCAAAUCGACUGCUACAAAAACCUAGUUCUUCCUCUGGAAAUUCCGAACAAACUCAAAAAGAAAUAACGGACAUAACCUCGGAAGCGAUGUCGGAAGCAGCGGAGAUGACGAUGACUGCAUGCGGCGCCUGCGGAACCACCUCCGAAUUGGACGAGCAGAUGAUUGGGUGUGAUAACUGCGACCGCUGGUUCCAUACGCGGUGCGUGGGCGUUACGGCGGAGGCGACGAAAGAGAACAAGUGGUUCUGUCCAUCCACCGAGUGCCAACAGCAGUACAGUGAGUACUUGAAAAAGUUAGAGAAGGAGGAAAAGAAGAAGAAGAGUAGCAAGAAAAAUAAAGCAUUAGGGGAGGAGUUCGACAGGGCUAGUAAUAAGUCUACUAGGUCAGUAAAUGAAUCCGGUUCUGAAUUAGAAAAACGGUUGAAGGACUUAGAAGAAGAACAACAGGCUAGAGAGAGAUAUUGAGAUCGAGAUGAUCGUCCGCGAAAAGCGAAUGGAAAUGGAAAGG